UCAGGUCACCUUCCACUCCUUUUCAAGACUAGCUUUGACUUCUUCCUGAUAACCUCUCUGUGGUUUUUGCCUUUGAAGACUUUCCUUAUUGUCAUAACGGGCCCUCUCUAUGAUGUUGCGCAAGUGUCUCCCUUUCUCGAAGCUUCCGCUGUCCCAUCUACAAGUGGAGGACACUUUGUCUUCACAGAUUCCUCCCUGCCUGGAGCGCAGAACCUUGGGUGGUCUACCUGCAGCGGAAGCAAUCUGAGAAGCUCCCCCAGGUCCUGUCCUCAGACACUUAGUGAAUUUCUCCGCCUGCACGGUGCCCUUUCUGUGCUGACCCCAGCCCGGUGGGAGACAUGGUGGACCAGUAAUGACAUCUGCUCACAGCCCUCCAACCUCAUUUGAGACACUGAGGAGCAAGAGCAGAAGCUGAGGCCCUGUGCAGUGAUGACAGAGGGCCCAGCCAGGUGGAGCCAGCAGCUGCAGCAAAACCAGGUGCCUUGGCAUUGAUUCUCGGGUUCCUUCCACUGACCAGCUCUCAUGCGUGGAGAACUCAGUGGUCAGAUAAAGCAUCUUUGUUUCUGGAUUUUCUUCUAUUCUGCCGAAGCCUUCUGAAUCAGGUUCAGAUCUGCCUCCUCCCAGCUUGGAAUUUGCACCUAGAAAGUUUCAAUGUAAAGCUGCUACCUCUAACAAGAACAGAAAGUCCCAGUUGGGCUUGUGAAGAAUGAAAUCAGCUCCAAGCCCCGAUCUUUCUGAAAAGUUGUUAUUAAAUUCUGUGCAUGGUCCUAACCUGGAUUUAAAGAUUUGCAAGAAGACAAAUUCCAAACAGAUGCCCAUUAGGGCCCUGACAGCACAGCUUAAAGAUAACAUUUACAUUCUGCCUGGGUUUGUAGCUCUCUGUUCCCCGCUCAACCCCUCUCCUGCCUCCAGCGGGAUCAAUACCUCGGUUGAGGUUACGUGGAGGUGGCCACAUUCUUUUAAGCUGUUUGCUCAGCGCUUGGUUUGCUUUGCUAACACGCCAGGCACUUCUUCCAACAGGCCUGUUUGCCCAGUAUUAGGGCUGUUUGCCGAAACACCUACCCAAUCCGAGGGGGCUCAGCUUUCCAAACAGUUGGUCCCCGCAUCUGUCAAUCAAUAACACCAUUCAGGUUCCUGAUAGGGACAGCAAAUGUGGACAAGUCCAAUAUUUGCCCAAACAUGGCCUCCUCCCCCUGCACCUGACUCUCCCUGAGCUUGACAAGGGCGGACGUUCGCCAAGCGCACAGGCUGCCGGGAAGAGACGAUGCUGCGAACAAGAAGCCGAUUCCAAGAAAGAAGAGCACACACACGAGCAAACACAGCGCUCCUCUGUGGGAGGUAACCUGGUGAAACCACGGCCAUCGCCUGCCCACCCAGCCCCGGUGGAAUUAGAAGCGGCAGGCGCAGGUUCCUGGUUCCCGGCGCUGGCGGAGGAAACUGGGUUUCAUCUUGUGAGGCUGGAGCUGGGACCAGGAGUUGGCUUGGAGUCCUAGGAGAUCAAAGGGACGUUAGGAUAUUAUCAAGCCCAGGAUAUCAAUUCCCGAGAACGACAAAAUGAUAGCAAGAGAAAGUCGACCAAGAGGAGGGUGACAUUUAAUGGGUACAGGCUUUUUGAGUUUUGGAACUUGAUAGAGGUCUUGGUUCACAACGUUGUGAAUGCACUAAAUGCCACUGAUUGUUUGCUUUAAAAUGGUUAAUUUUAUGUUAGGUGAAUUUCACCUCAGCUAGAAAAAAGAAGGGCAAAUCUCAAUGAGCCUAGGACAUUUACAUUUGAGAAACUCUAAUGCCUAACUCAGGCUUUGGCUCAGAGUAAAUGCUUAAUAAAUGUUUAUUGAAAGAACAACCUAACAUUUGCACAGUCAACAAAGCUCUUUGUUACACAUUAGCUCAUUUCAUCCUUAAAAAGCCUUAUGAGGUGGGCAAGGGGAAGCAUUCUUCCCUUGAAAAGGGGAAACUGAGGCAAGUAUGGCUUGCAUACUAUCACACAUAGUAGUAGUGCUAGGAUUUGAACCCAAAAAUAUCUAGCUCCCAAAUUUGUGCAUGUAAAAAGCGACACUAGUGUUUUGUCUACCUCAUGGCUUCCAGGAAAGAAGAGGACUAGGUUCUUAUAAAUAACCCCUCCCCCCACUUCUUUUUGAGUAUUUAUUACUAAAAAUAUGUUAAAACUGGCAAAGCCACCCUUUCUCCCUCACAGUUCCUAGCACAAUGCUUGAUAAAUAUUUGCUGACUCAUUCAACUGCAGAGACCAAUCUCUGGUUGCUGUGGCGACUGUCCAGAGCCAAGCUCAGGCAGAUCAGGGCAUCAGUGAAGCCAAGGGCUCUGGGUUAAGUGUCAGGAGGAGGAGCUGGGUCUGAGGCGAUGACUCCCAGAAGCCUUUGCUCGGGGUAAGGUGUCCGCUACACACCAAUGGCACAGGAGUCUGGUGGUGGUGGGGCCAUCUUGCCACUGUCACUUU